rnacentral:rRNA from 1 species
GGUCAAGUUAUUAAGGGUGCAGGGCGGAUGCCUUGGCACUAGGAGCCGAUGAAGGACGUGAUAAGCUGCGAUAAGCUUCGGGGAGUUGCACGUAAACUUUGAUCCGAAGAUUUCCGAAUGAGGAAACUCACUUAGAGUAAUGUCUAAGUAUCAUUAAGUGAAUACAUAGCUUAAUGAGGGGAACUCAGGGAACUGAAACAUCUAAGUACCUGAAGGAAGAGAAAGAAAUUCGAUUCCGUAAGUAGCGGCGAGCGAACGCGGAUUAGCCCAAACCAAUAAAGUUUUCUUUAUUGGGGUU